AGUGAACGCUGGCAGUAGGCCUAACACAUGCAAGUCGAACGGCAGCACAGUAAGAGCUUGCUCUUACGGGUGGCGAGUGGCGGACGGGUGAGGAAUACAUCGGAAUCUACUUUUUCGUGGGGGAUAACGUAGGGAAACUUACGCUAAUACCGCAUACGACCUACGGGUGAAAGCAGGGGAUCUUCGGACCUUGCGCGAUUGAAUGAGCCGAUGUCGGAUUAGCUAGUUGGCGGGGUAAAGGCCCACCAAGGCGACGAUCCGUAGCUGGUCUGAGAGGAUGAUCAGCCACACUGGAACUGAGACACGGUCCAGACUCCUACGGGAGGCAGCAGUGGGGAAUAUUGGACAAUGGGCGCAAGCCUGAUCCAGCCAUACCGCGUGGGUGAAGAAGGCCUUCGGGUUGUAAAGCCCUUUUGUUGGGAAAGAAAAGCAGCAGGUUAAUACCCCGCUGUUCUGACGGUGCCCAAAGAAUAAGCACCGGCUAACUUCGUG
rnacentral:rRNA from 1 species